rnacentral:rRNA from 1 species
UACGAAGGGGGCUAGCGUUGUUCGGAAUUACUGGGCGUAAAGCGCACGUAGGCGGAUAUUUAAGUCAGGGGUGAAAUCCCGGGGCUCAACCCCGGAACUGCCUUUGAUACUGGGUAUCUCGAGUCCGAGAGAGGUGAGUGGAAUUCCGAGUGUAGAGGUGAAAUUCGUAGAUAUUCGGAAGAACACCAGUGGCGAAGGCGGCUCACUGGCCCGGUACUGACGCUGAGGUGCGAAAGCGUGGGGAGCAAACAGGG